UACGUAGGUGGCGAGCGUUAUCCGGAAUUAUUGGGCGUAAAGAGCGCGCAGGUGGUUGAUUAAGUCUGAUGUGAAAGCCCACGGCUUAACCGUGGAGGGUCAUUGGAAACUGGCCGACUUGAGUGCAGAAGAGGGAAGUGGAAUUCCAUGUGUAGCGGUGAAAUGCGUAGAGAUAUGGAGGAACACCAGUGGCGAAGGCGGCUUCCUGGUCUGUAACUGACACUGAGGCGCGAAAGCGUGGGGAGCAAACAGG
rnacentral:rRNA from 1 species